rnacentral:rRNA from 1 species
UACAGAGGUCUCAAGCGUUGCUCGGAUUCAUUGGGCGUAAAGGGUGCGUAGGCGGCGCGGUAAGUCGGGUGUGAAAUCUCGGAGCUUAACUCCGAAACUGCAUUCGAUACUGCCGUGCUUGAGGACUGGAGAGGAGACUGGAAUUUACGGUGUAGCGGUGAAAUGCGUAGAUAUCAGGAGGAACACCUAUUGCGAAGGCAGCUCGCUGGGACGUAACUGACGCUGAGACGCGAAAGCGUGGGGAGCAAACAGG